CCCUUAGAUGUUCUAGGCUGCACGCGCGCUACACUGAUGCGAUCAACAAGUUUUUCCUAUGUCGAUAGACACGGGUAAUCUUUUGAACUCGCAUCGUGAUGGGGAUAGAUUAUUGUAAUUAUUAAUCUUCAACGAGGAAUUCCUAGUAGGUGCAAAUCAUCAGUUUGCAUCGAUUACGUCCCUGCCCUUUGUACACACCGCCCGUCGCUGCUACCGAUUGGUUGAUCUGGUGAAUUAUUCGGACUGCCGGCUGAAGGGGUUUCCUCAUCUGCCAGCGGAAAGUCUUGUUAACCCUAUCAACUAGAGGAAGCAGAAGUCGUAACA
rnacentral:rRNA from 1 species